AGCAGUAGCCACGGUAAUACGUAGGGUGCGAGCGUUAAUCGGAAUUACUGGGCGUAAAGCGUGCGCAGGCGGUUGUGCAAGACAGAUGUGAAAUCCCCGAGCUUAACUUGGGAACUGCAUUUGUGACUGCACGGCUAGAGUGUGUCAGAGGGGGGUAGAAUUCCACGUGUAGCAGUGAAAUGCGUAGAUAUGUGGAGGAAUACCGAUGGCGAAGGCAGCCCCCUGGGAUAACACUGACGCUCAUGCACGAAAGCGUGGGGAGCAAACAGGAUUAGAUACCCGUGUAGUCCCUGUCUCUUAUAC
rnacentral:rRNA from 1 species